AGAUUGAACGCUGGCGGCAGGCCUAACACAUGCAAGUCGAGCGGUAGAGAGGUGCUUGCACCUCUUGAGAGCGGCGGACGGGUGAGUAAUGCCUAGGAAUCUGCCUAGUGGUGGGGGAUAACGUUCGGAAACGGACGCUAAUACCGCAUACGUCCUACGGGAGAAAGCGGGGGACCUUCGGGCCUCGCGCCAUUAGAUGAGCCUAGGUCGGAUUAGCUAGUUGGUGAGGUAAUGGCUCACCAAGGCGACGAUCCGUAACUGGUCUGAGAGGAUGAUCAGUCACACUGGAACUGAGACACGGUCCAGACUCCUACGGGAGCAGCAGUGGGAAUAUUGGACAAU
rnacentral:rRNA from 1 species